AUAUAGAGGGCAGUGGUCCUCACAGUAU
rnacentral:guide_RNA from 1 species